rfam:Stachybotrys chlorohalonata IBT 40285 unplaced genomic scaffold scaffold1832, whole genome shotgun sequence.
AGGGUUAUAGCUUAAUCGGUAAAGCAUACUGCUCAUGACAGUACUUAUAUGUGUUCAAGUCACUUUAGCCCUA